ACAGUUCGGUCCCUAUCUAUCGUGGGCGUAGGAAAUUUGAGAGGCGCUGUCCCUAGUACGAGAGGACCGGGAUGGACGAACCCAUGGUGAACCGGUUGUCGCGCCAGCGGCACCGCCGGGUAGCUACGUUCGGCUGGGAUAAACGCUGAAAGCAUCUAAGUGUGAAGCCCCCCUCAAGAUGAGAUUUCCCCACGUUAUGUGAUAAGGUCCCUGAAAGACGAUCAGGUGGAUAGGCCGGGAGUGGAAGUGCAGUAAUGUAUGAAGCGGACCGGUACUAAUAGACCGAAGACUUGACCACAA
rnacentral:rRNA from 1 species